rfam:Xenopus tropicalis strain Nigerian Chr06_contig_1229, whole genome shotgun sequence.
UUAAUGGAUGUUUUUAAAUCCACCCAUAUAACUAAAAACUUUUUAU